CCUACGGGUGGCAGCAGUGGGGAAUAUUGCACAAUGGGGGAAACCCUGAUGCAGCGACGCCGCGUGAGUGAAGAAGUAAUUCGUUAUGUAAAGCUCUAUCAGCAGGGAAGAAAAUGACGGUACCUGAGUAAGAAGCCCCGGCUAACUACGUGCCAGCAGCCGCGGUCAUACGUAGGGGGGCAGCGUUAUCCGGAUUUACUGGGGGUAAAGGGAGCGUAGACGGCAGUGCAAGUCUGGAGGGAAAGGGGGGGGCUCAACCCCCGGACUGCUCUGGAAACUGUACGGCUGGAGUGCAGGAGGGGUAAGUGGAAUGCCUGGUGUAGCGGUGAAAUGCGUAGAUAUUAGGAGGAACACCAGUGGCGAAGGCGGCUUACUGGACUGUAACUGACGUUGAGGCUCGAAAGCGUGGGGAGCAAACAGGAUUAGAUACCCCGGUAGUC
rnacentral:rRNA from 1 species